rnacentral:rRNA from 1 species
GGUUAAGCGACUAAGCGUACACGGUGGAUGCCCUGGCAGUCAGAGGCGAUGAAGGGCGUGCUAAUCUGCGAUAAGCGCCGGUAAGGUGAUAUGAACCGUUAUAACCGGCGAUACCCGAAUGGGGAAACCCAGUGUGACUCGUCACACUAUCAUUAACUGAAUCCAUAGGUUAAUGAGGCGAACCGGGGGAACUGAAACAUCUAAGUACCCCGAGGAAAAGAAAUCAACCGAGAUUCCCCCAGUAGCGGCGAGCGAACGGGGAGGAGCCCAGAGCCUGAAUCAGCAUGUGUGUUAGUGGAAGCGUCUGGAAAGGCGCGCGAUACAGGGUGACAGCCCCGUACACAAAAGCGCAUAUGCUGUGAGCUCG